rnacentral:tRNA from 2 species
GGGCCCGUAACUCAGCUUGGUAGAAGAAUUUCGCCAAAAGUGACCGACUCAUAAUCGGUUUGUCGUGGGAUCGAAGCCCACCGGGCCCA